ACAACGGCUCUUUUAAGAGCCACCCACAAAUCCACUGUUGUAGAA
rfam:Astyanax mexicanus Tnplaced_Scaffold4648, whole genome shotgun sequence.